rnacentral:rRNA from 1 species
GAUGAACGCUGGCGGCGUGCCUAAUACAUGCAAGUCGAGCGAACAGACGGGAGCUUGCUCCUCUGACGUUAGCGGCGGACGGGUGAGUAACACGUGGAUAACCUACCUAUAAGACUGGGAUAACUUCGGGAAACCGGAGCUAAUACCGGAUAAUAUAUUGAACCGCAUGGUUCAAUAGUGAAAGACGGUUUUGCUGUCACUUAUAGAUGGAUCCGCGCCGCAUUAGCUAGUUGGUAAGGUAACGGCUUACCAAGGCAACGAUGCGUAGCCGACCUGAGAGGGUGAUCGGCCACACUGGAACUGAGACACGGUCCAGACUCCUACGGGAGGCAGCAGUAGGGAAUCUUCCGCAAUGGGCGAAAGCCUGACGGAGCAACGCCGCGUGAGUGAUGAAGGUCUUCGGAUCGUAAAACUCUGUUAUUAGGGAAGAACAAAUGUGUAAGUAACUAUGCACGUCUUGACGGUACCUAAUCAGAAAGCCACGGCUAACUACGUG